GGUGCUCCAGCGCGUGGUCGGCGCCGGGCAGUUCCAGGCAGCUCAGGCCGAGGUCGUCGGCCAGGCGCGGGUCCCAGCUCCAGUCGGCGCCGCC
rnacentral:tRNA from 1 species